GAUGAACGCUGGCGGCGUGCCUAAUACAUGCAAGUCGAGCGAACAGACGAGGAGCUUGCUCCUCUGACGUUAGCGGCGGACGGGUGAGUAACACGUGGAUAACCUACCUAUAAGACUGGGAUAACUUCGGGAAACCGGAGCUAAUACCGGAUAACAUGUUGAACCGCAUGGUUCAACAGUGAAAGACGGUUUUGCUGUCACUUAUAGAUGGAUCCGCGUCGUAGUAGAUAGUUGGGAAGGUAACGGCUUACCAAGGCAAGUAUGCGUAGACGACCGGAGAGAGUGAUCGGCGACACGGGAGCGUGGACGCGGUCCAGGGUACUACGGGAGGCAGCAGUAGCGUACGUUCCGCAAUAGGCGGAAGCCUGACGGAGUGAGGGGAAGUGAGAGAAGAAGGUCUUCGGAUCGUGAUACUCGGUUAUGAGGUAAGAACAAAUGUGUAAGUAAAUAUGGACUUCUUGACGGUACCGGAUCAGAAAGCAACGGCUAACUACGUG
rnacentral:rRNA from 1 species